rnacentral:rRNA from 1 species
ACCCGAGUGGCGAACGGGUGAGUAACACGUGGGUGAUCUGCCCUGCACUUCGGGAUAAGCUUGGGAAACUGGGUCUAAUACCGGAUAGGAGCCAUCUUUAGUGUGGUGGUUGGAAAGUUUUUUCGGUGUAGGAUGAGCUCGCGGCCUAUCAGCUUGUUGGUGGGGUAAUGGCCUACCAAGGCGGCGACGGGUAGCCGGCCUGAGAGGGUGUACGGCCACAUUGGGACUGAGAUACGGCCCAG